rnacentral:lncRNA from 1 species
CGUCGCAUUUUUGCGCCUGUCCCAAGUCAGGAGCCUCUGGCCUUUGUUAAUCUUGUAUUAUUUUAAAUUUAGUUUCUUGUGUACAAUUUGGAAAUUAGUAUGGCGUUCAUUAUCACUGAACUAGUAUAUAUUUGUUUAGGGGCCAGUUGAAGGACGCCUCCGGGUGCGGGAAUUUCUCGCUACAUUGAAGACCUGUUGGUGACCUUCUGCUGUUGUUUUUUUUUCUAUGGUGGGGUUGUUGUCUCUUUGGCACAUUCCCCAUUUCCAUUCUCAAUUUUAUUUAUUAU